UCCAGACUCCUACGGGAGGCAGCAGUGGGGAAUAUUGCACAAUGGGGGAAACCCUGGUGCAGCAACGCCGCGUGAGUGAGGAAGUAUUUCGGUAUGUAAAGCUCUAUCAGCAGGGAAUAGAAAAGAAGGUACCUGAAGAAGAAGCCCCGGCUAACUACGUGCCAGCAGCCGCGGUAAUACGUAGGGGGCAAGCGUUAUCCGGAUUUACUGGGUGUAAAGGGGGCGCAGACGGCGAUGCAAGCCAGGAGUGAAAGCCCGGGGCCCAACCCCGGGACUGCUCUUGGAACUGCGUGGCUAGAGUGCAGGAGGGGCAGGCGGAAUUCCUGGUGUAGCGGUGAGAUGCGUAGAUAUCAGGAGGAACACCGGUGGCGAAGGCGGCCUGCUGGACUGCAACUGACGUUGAGGCCCGAAAGCGUGGGUAUCGAACAGGAUUAGAUACCCCUGUAAG
rnacentral:rRNA from 1 species